rnacentral:sRNA from 1 species
GGUAGUGCCAUUUCUGAUCAAACGUGCCAAGGAUAAGAAGAAGAACGUGAGAGAUGCGAUUUUGGCGGCAAUGGGUGCUGUGGCUGAUACGGUACGGCGGAAUUUUGGCAAAAAAUUCGAAAAAAAUUGGAUUUCUGCGCGAAAAUCCGGGAAAUUUUGAUAAAAAUCUGACUUUUCUGGAAUUUUUUAGUGAAAAAUCCAAUUUUUUCGCUGAAAAAUCUAUAAAAAUGACCCAAAAAUCGGUUUUUUCAGCUGAAAAUCUGGAAAAUUACGCUAAAAAAUCGAUAAAAACCGCAAUUUUCUCAGAUUUUCCGUAUUUUCAGACAACUUCCGAGCGUCUCCAAAAGGAUCUUAUCGAUUGGUUCGGAAUUCCGUCUCCAGAGUCAAAAAAGACACUUUUACACUUUCUUUACGCAUAUUUCUGCCGCCAAUGCACACCGGAUAUCCAAUUUAUUAAGACGAUCGCUCCGUUGAUUGUUAAG